rnacentral:rRNA from 1 species
AUUGAACGCUGGCGGCAUGCUUUACACAUGCAAGUCGAACGGCAGCGGGGGCUUCGGCCUGCCGGCGAGUGGCGAACGGGUGAGUAAUGCAUCGGAACGUGCCCAUGUCGUGGGGGAUAACUACGCGAAAGCGUGGCUAAUACCGCAUACGCCCUGAGGGGGAAAGCGGGGGAUCUUUCGGGACCUAGCGCGAUUGGAGCGGCCGAUGUCGGAUUAGCUAGUUGGUGGGGUAAAGGCUCACCAAGGCGACGAUCCGUAGCUGGUCUGAGAGGAUGAUCAGCCACACUGGGACUGAGACACGGCCCAGACUCCUACGGGAGGCAGCAGUGGGGAACUUUGGACAAUGGGCGCAAGCCUGAUCCAGCCAUGCCGCGUGAGUGAAGAAGGCCUUCGGGUUGUAAAGCUCUUUCGGCCGGGAAGAAAUCGCAUUCUCUAAUAUAGGAUGUGGAUGACGGUACCGGACUAAGAAGCACCGGCUAACUACGUGCCAGCAGCCGCAGUAACAC